GACGAACGCUGGCGGCGUGCUUAACACAUGCAAGUCGAACGGAAAGGCCCUGCUUUUGUGGGGUGCUCGAGUGGCGAACGGGUGAGUAACACGUGAGUAACCUGCCCUUGACUUUGGGAUAACUUCAGGAAACUGGGGCUAAUACCGGAUAGGAGCUCCUGCUGCAUGGUGGGGGUUGGAAAGUUUCGGCGGUUGGGGAUGGACUCGCGGCUUAUCAGCUUGUUGGUGGGGUAGUGGCUUACCAAGGCUUUGACGGGUAGCCGGCCUGAGAGGGUGACCGGCCACAUUGGGACUGGGAUACGGCCCAGACUCCUACGGGAGGCAGCGGUGGGGAAUAUUGCACAAUGGGCGGAAGCCUGAUGCAGCAACGCCGCGUGCGGGAUAACGGCCUUCGGGUUGUAACCCGCUUUCGCCUGUGACGAAGCGUGAGUGACGGUAAUGGGUAAAGAAGCACCGGCUAACUACGUG
rnacentral:rRNA from 1 species